AAACACAACAUUCAGAAUAUGUGGAUGUGGAUGAGGAGCUUCUCUCAGGUUUGGUGGGAACAGAGGGUACAUCAGAAAACUGUGAUGUCUGUCCUGCAGUGAUGAGACCAGAUAGCAUAGCAAACUAUGAUGAUGUGAAGUGCUCCCAGAAUGAGGGGGACCAUGUGACUGAGAGAUCCCCAGGAAAUGACAUUUGAGCUUCUUGAAACUUUUUAUCCCCACAAUACAUUUUUUCAUUAGUUUCUAAAAAGUGAGUGGAAGAGUGG